AUCGCGUUGAAGAUCCCACUGGACUCGCAGGAACUGAAGUGGACCAAGAAGGCUACGUUGAAGCUUCCGAAGGACACGUUCCACAAGGCAAGCCAGAGUUUGGGGUGGACAUGUGGAAGGGGCUUCGGCCAGGUUGACAUGAUCCGCAAUGGUGGAACCCGUGAAAGCAACGACCGUCUAGCCUUGCUUAGGCCCAACAAGUGCCCGACUGCUAGGAUGGAUCAAUAUCCCACUAGGCAGGAGUGUGUUUGGCCUGUCGGCCCCUAA
rnacentral:lncRNA from 1 species